rnacentral:other from 1 species
UCUUCCCUGCGGUGUUCGUGACUCGGCCAAAUAUCCUGUUCCAAUGUGAUGGCAUAGGUUGCGGAAUUAUGUAGCGUAGGUGCGAUUGCCUCUCGUAGGCGAACCCGAAGCGCGACUGACUGCGACCACUUGAACCUGAGGGUUCAGGAUGCCGGCCUGGCGGCACAGGCGGGGAUUUU